UUCACAUGCUCAUUUUGGCGUUCGGAGUGAUCACGGGAUUUGGUUUGUCGCUGUGCUACGUGGCGGCGGUUGUGAUAGUGGCCUAUUAUUUUGAUAAGAGACGCUCACUCGCGCCGGGCCUGUCCAUGUGUGGCGGUGGGAUUGGAACUUUUAUGUUUGGCCCCCUGAAUUCCUAUCUCAUUGAAGCGACCAGCUGGAGAGUGACCUUGUUGGUGGACGCCGGGUGUUUUUAUUUAGCCUUUGCUUCUGUGCUAUCCUCAUGAAAGACUUGGAAUGGAGCAAGAAGAGUAGUCGAAAGAGGGAAAAGGUUCUCCAGAAUGAGCACGACCUUAAUACUCAGACUCAACUAAACCUGAAUGGAGCAGGGGGUGGAAUGUACUCCAUCCCUGAAGGAGGAGGAGGAGGAGGAACUGCCUUGAUUGGACUCUAGAAAUCU